rnacentral:rRNA from 1 species
UACGUAGGGUGCAAGCGUUAAUCGGAAUUACUGGGCGUAAAGCGUGCGCAGGCGGUCAUGUAAGACAGAGGUGAAAUCCCCGGGCUCAACCUGGGAACUGCCUUUGUGACUGCAUAGCUAGAGUACGGCAGAGGGGGAUGGAAUUCCGCGUGUAGCAGUGAAAUGCGUAGAUAUGCGGAGGAACACCGAUGGCGAAGGCAAUCCCCUGGGCCUGUACUGACGCUCACGCACGAAAGCGUGGGGAGCAAACAGG